UACAGAGGGGGCGAGCGUUGUUCGGAAUUACUGGGCGUAAAGGGCGCGUAGGCGGCCUUCUAAGUCGAACGUGAAAUCCCCGGGCUCAACCCGGGAACUGCGUCCGAUACUGGGAGGCUUGAAUCCGGGAGAGGGAUGUGGAAUUUCCUGUGUAGCGGUGAAAUGCGUAGAUAUAGGAAGGAACACCAGUGGCGAAGGCGACCACCUGGACUGAUACUGACACUGAGGUGCGAAAGCGUGGGGAGCGAACAGG
rnacentral:rRNA from 1 species